rnacentral:rRNA from 1 species
UACGAAGGGGGCUAGCGUUGCUCGGAAUCACUGGGCGUAAAGGGUGCGUAGGCGGGUCUUUAAGUCAGGGGUGAAAUCCUGGAGCUCAACUCCAGAACUGCCUUUGAUACUGAGGAUCUUGAGUUCGGGAGAGGUGAGUGGAACUGCGAGUGUAGAGGUGAAAUUCGUAGAUAUUCGCAAGAACACCAGUGGCGAAGGCGGCUCACUGGCCCGAUACUGACGCUGAGGCGCGAAAGCUAGGGGAGCGAACGGG